AAAAGUUUUAAACAAUAGGUUGAAAGUGCCAUUUUUUGGCCAGUUGGAGCUGUUGUUUAACUUGUAUUGUGGCCAUGCAGUGUUACAGAAGAAGA